rnacentral:rRNA from 1 species
UACAGAGGGGGCGAGCGUUAUUCGGAAUUAUUGGGCGUAAAGGGCGCGUAGGUGGCUUGACAAGUCAACGGUGAAAUCCCUCGGCUCAACCGAGGAAUGGCCUUUGAAACUGUCGAGCUAGAGGCCGGGAGAGGGUAGUGGAAUUCCCAGUGUAGCGGUGAAAUGCGUAGAUAUCGAGAGGAACACCUGCGGCGAAGGCGGGUUGCUGGGCCGACACUGACGCUGAUGCGCGAAAGCCAGGGGAGCGAACGGG